ensembl:misc_RNA Y_RNA Y RNA
GGCUGGUCCGAUGACAGUGGGUUAUCAGAACUUACUAACAUUAGUGUCACUAAAGUUGGUAUCCCCCCCCCCCCCCCGCACUGCUAAAUUUGACUGGCUUUAA